CCAGGAAACUGUCCAUUAACAAAGGCAAGAUGUGCAACUCCUCUUCCUGAACCGUUGUGUAACAGUGACAGCGACUGUAAAGGUGCCCUGAAAUGCUGCACCCCUCUGUGUCAACAGAAGUGCACUGAUCCCAUCAUGGAUAAACCAGGAACGUGCCCUGUGGUGAAUACUUUUGCACCCUGUCCUAUCCCACUUCCCCCAGCUCUAUGUGACAAUGACGCAAUGUGCAAUGGUAAUCAGAAGUGCUGUAACUAUGGCUGCCAGAUCAUGUGCACGGACCCAGUUGUUGCAAAAUAAAUUCAAGGACGCUAUUCCGUGAAAUCCAUGAGAGACGCUCUGUGCCAUACAGCUGUUAUGUUCCAGAGGUCGAUGCGAUUCAGUCUUUGGGAGCAGCGCUCAGUUCAUAUAACCAUAUAAUAUAUACUCACUAUUAAAGGGCCAGUUUGUGGCUCUAUCUGUCCUGUACCCAAUAAAAGAUAACGUUAUUCA